rnacentral:rRNA from 1 species
UGAGUAACACGUGGGUAACCUGCCUGUAAGACUGGGAUAACUCCGGGAAACCGGGGCUAAUACCGGAUGGUUGUCUGAACCGCAUGGUUCAGACAUAAAAUGUGGCUUCGGCUACCACUUACUGAUGGACGCGCGGCGCAUUAGCUAGUUAGUGAGGUAACGGCUCACCAAGGCGACGAUGCGGGCCCACCUGAGAGGGUGAUCGGCCACACUGGGACUGACACACGGUCCCACUCCUACGGGAGGCCUGUUAUGGAAUCUUCCGCGGUGGACCAAAGUCUGACGGAUCAACGCCGCGGGAGUGAUGAGGGUUUUCGGAUCGCGAGCUCUGUUGUUAGGGAAGAACAAGUGCCGUUCAAAUAGGGCGGCACCUUGACGGUCCUAACCAGAAUGCCACGGCUAACUACCUGCCAGCAUGCUCGGGAUACGUAUGUAGCAAGCGUUGUCCGGAAUUAUUGGGCGUUUAGGGCUCGCAGGCGGUUUCUUGAAUCUGAUGGGAAAGCCCCCGGGUCAGCCGGGGAGGGUCAUUGUAAACUGGGGAACUUGAGUGCAGAAGAGGAGAGUGGAAUUCCACGUGUACCGCUGAAAUGCGUACAGAUCUGCGAGGAACACCGGAGGCGACUCUACUCUCUGGUCUGUAACUGACGCUGAGGAGAUGACGCGUGCGGAGCGAACAGGAUUAGAUACCCUGGUACUCCACGACCCGACGUGAGUGCUAUAUGUUAGGGGGUUUCCGCCCCUUAUUGCUGCAGCUAACGCAUUAAGCACUCGGCCUGGGGAGUACGGUCGCAAGACUGAAACUCAAAGGAAUUGACGGGGGCCCGCACAAGCGGUGGAGCUUGUGGUUUAAUUCGAAGCAACGCGAUGAACCUUCCCAGGUCUCGACAUCCUCUGACAAUCCUAGAGAUAGGAUGUCCCCUUCGGGGGUAGAGUGACAGGCGGUGCAUGGUAGUCGUCAGCUCGUGUCGUGAGAUGUUGGGUUAAGUCCCGCAACGAGCGCAACCCUUGAUCUUAGUUGCCAGCAUUCAGUUGGGCACUCUAAGGUGACUGCCGGUGACAAACCGGAGGAAGGUGGGGAUGACGUCACAUCAUCAUGCCCCUUAUGACCUGGGCUACACACGUGCUACAAUGGACAGAACAAAGGGCAGCGAAACCGCGAGGUUAAGCCAAUCCCACAAAUCUGUUCUCAGUUCGGAU